CCUAGGGUGUGCAGCAGUGGGGAAUAUUGGACAAUGGGCGAAAGCCUGAUCCAGCCAUGCCGCGUGUGUGAAGAAGGCCAUCGGGUUGUAAAGCACUUUCAGUGGGGAAGAAAGCCUUGGGGCUAAUACCCUCGAGGAAGGACAUCACCCACAGAAGAAGCACCGGCUAACUCCGUGCCAGCAGCCGCGGUAAUACGGAGGGUGCGAGCGUUAAUCGGAAUUACUGGGCGUAAAGCGCGCGUAGGCGGUCUGAUAAGCCGGUUGUGAAAGCCCCGGGCUCAACCUGGGAACGGCAUCCGGAACUGUCAGGCUAGAGUGCAGGAGAGGAAGGGAGAAUUCCCGGUGUAGCGGUGAAAUGCGUAGAGAGCGGGAGGAAUACCAGUGGCGAAGGCGGCCUUCUGGACUGACACUGACGCUGAGGUGCGAAAGCGUGGGUAGCAAACAGGAUUAGAUACCCCAGUAGUC
rnacentral:rRNA from 1 species